GAUGAACGCUGGCGGCGUGCCUAAUACAUGCGAGUAGAACGCUGAAGCUUGGUGCUUGCACCGAGCGGAUGAGUUGCGAACGGGUGAGUAACGCGUAGGUAACCUGCCUGGUAGCGGGGGAUAACUAUUGGAAACGAUAGCUAAUACCGCAUAACAGUAGAUAUUGCAUGAUAUCUGCUUGAAAGGUGCAAAUGCAUCACUACCAGAUGGACCUGCGUUGUAUUAGCUAGUUGGUGAGGUAACGGCUCACCAAGGCGACGAUACAUAGCCGACCUGAGAGGGUGAUCGGCCACACUGGGACUGAGACACGGCCCAGACUCCUACGGGAGGCAGCAGUAGGGAAUCUUCGGCAAUGGGGGGAACCCUGACCGAGCAACGCCGCGUGAGUGAAGAAGGUUUUCGGAUCGUAAAGCUCUGUUGUAAGAGAAGAACGAGUGUGAGAGUGGAAAGUUCACACUGUGACGGUAUCUUACCAGAAAGGGACGGCUAACUACGUG
rnacentral:rRNA from 1 species